CAAGCAAAAUGUAGGCCUGUUUGCCUGGCCAGUAGGGUGGCAUCAUUCAAAGGCUAAAACAAUGCAAAGCACAUUGUGACUAGUGAUGUGUAACAUCUGAUAGUCUGGUCAAUACCGUGAUACUGUGAAUACCAUGAUGUGUGUGUACACACACAUAGAUACAUUAUACAUACAUAUAAAGAUACAUAUGUGUUCAUAUAUAUAUAUAUAUAUAUAUAUGUGUGUGUGUGUGUGUGUGUGUUUUUACACACACACACGUGCAAUAUAUAUGUAUAUUUGCAUAGAAUUAUAAUUUUAGUCUUGUCUAAAAAUAACUUCUUCAGAAGCAAAAAAACAAAUUUAUAUUGGCAUUCGAAAAAUAAUUAAGAAUUUUGAAAAUGUUUUGAUUGUGUCAAUUUGAUGUUGCUUUUGUUUUCCUACUCCGGAAAAAGAUGUUAAAAAAUAACUUCAUGCCUAUACUUGAUAUUUCUUUCUUUUUUAAAUCUAUAGUUAUUUUAAUUAUAAACAGCCUAACAUGAAAGCUAUUUUUAUGGCACUGUAAAUUGCUUCACUGACUUAACACCCCAAAAACUACUGCCAUACAAUACCGGAGAUGUACUAGAGCCUGUUUUGUGUGCUGUUGUUCCAUACCAGUUCUUGCUGUGGUGAGCAGAUUGCAUGCAUAUCAUUCUGAGGUCUUCCUAUGUAAUUCAUUACAGGUAGCUACAUUGCUCUGUUCCCCAUCAUUAUGUAAAGUUUACCCAAAGGUCAAGUGAAUCUAUUUAUGUAAAUAUUUGUGACAUCAACUAAUCUCUGUCGAGCAUUCCUUCAAAGAUUCUGGUUAAUAUGUUUUUCUGUUUUAAAGCUUCUUUCUAACCUGUUUUCUUGUUUGUUUUGUUAUUUUUUAAAAGAAAUUAUUGUUUAUUGUUUGUUCUGACCGAUCUGCUAUAUAUAUACAUUUAUAAUCUCAGAAGCAAUUGAAAGGUUUAUUUCUUGUUAUUUGUUUAUUAACAUUCAGUUAAAUUACUGAGAUAUUAAAAGCACAGCAAACAAUAUUACAAGCAGCAUUAAAUGCAAUGCUGAAACUUUUCAACAAGUGUAAAAGAAAUAUUCCUUUCUUCUAACCUAUUCAACAUGUGUUUUGUUUAUAGUUGGCUUUGUUCAAUAGACACAAAUAACCUGAUGAACAUUGUGUCCAGAGUUUUGAUCCAUGGUUGUGAGUUCUUAUCCAAUUACAGCUAUCCAUCUACAUAUAUAUAUAGUUUAUGUUUACUUACAUCUUAAAAAGUUAGCUAACUUCAUUCUUUGAUAUUCUUUUAUUAUAUACAAGGUUUGAUCAAUAGGUAUCCGGACUAGUGCUAUAAAAACAAAACUACAACAUGUACCAAUUUGGCAUUUAGUCUCCUUCAAAGUAGUCCCCUUUGGAAUCCACACACUUAAUCCAGCAUUGAUUCCUGGAGCUUGUUUUCUGGGAUAAUCAGCAGCUGCCUUGUCACAUUCACUUUGAUUUCUUUGAUGUCCUGAAAUCUACCUUUCAAGCAGGAUUUGAUUUUUGGAAAGUCGCAAGGGGUGAGAUCUGGGGAAUAUGGUGGCCGUCAGACCUGGAGAAUGCUGUGCCUAGCCAAAAACUGCUCCACAAGCUGCACUAAAUGGCCAGGUGUGUUUUAUGGUGCAAUUGCCACUCACCAGAUGCAUGCCAUUGUGGCCUUUUUCGACAAAUAGCAUUCCACAAAUGCUGCAGAACAUCAGGGUUGUACUCCUUGUUUACUGUCUGACCAGGUGGAACAUACUCAUGAUGAACAAUCUCCUUUGUAGUCGAAGAAAAUGGUCCACAAUGUCUUCACAUUGCUUUUGUCUUGGGGAGGUUGGGGUCUUUCACUGCAAAGACUGAGCCUUUGUUUUGGGGUUAUAACCUUAGACCCAUGAUCCAUCACCUGUUAUGACUGUUUUCAAAAAGUUUUCAUCAUUCUCGACACAAUUAAGGAGAUCUUGUGCAAUUGAAAUCCGAGUGUCAUUUUGGUCAGCUGAAAUCAGUUUUGGCCCAAACUUGGCAGACACAUAUCCAAAUCUUCAGUAAUAAUGGACUGAACUGAACCAUAAUUAAUUUGUACAUACUCUGAUAACUCACAGAUGGUGAUUUGAUGACCUCCCGCACAUCUGCGAUGUUUUUCUCAGUUCUGCUGCUAACAGGUAUCCCAGAAUGUUUGUCACUAUUGACAUUCUUUUGGCUCAUACACUCCUUUCCAUACACUUUCUGCAACUUUGAUGCAGAUUCUCUGCUCAACUUUCUCUGUCAUGGUCAAUGUGAUGAUCACAUGCUACACACGUUCCUUCCAACCAUUGCUGUAAACAGCAGAAGUGAGCUAGAAUGUUAAAAUUUGGUGCAUAUGCACAGCAGUGUUCAUGGUCAAUCUGUGCUAAGCGGCUUCACUCUGCAUGCUUUAGCUUCAUUACUAUGACAACAGUCUGGAUACUUAUUGAUCAGACCAUUCUAUAGAUGCUUUUGUGGAUUUUCUGAAUACUGGUGUGGUGACAUCCUAGACCUCCCCACCUUUCCACUUUCAGAUAGCCACUGUCUGUGUGAAUGCUUCAUGAGCUAAACACUUGGAUUACACAUUCCAAUUCACCUAUGAUGUAUGUACAUACACACAUAUAUACUUACAUGCAUACAUUCCUACCUACAUAUCUACAUGCAUGCAUGUAUGCAUGUAUGUGUGUAUGUGUAUUCACUUUUUUUAAUAUUUACUUAACCAAACCUUGAUGUUAUACCCUAAUACUGGUAUUGACUACUGCAAAAGCUGGAUGUUUAACCAUACCCUCCUCACAACAGGAAAGCUAACAUUGUCACCUGCUUCUCACUGAUCUUACAGCAUGAGCUACUCCACACUAAACAGUUUUACAGACUUUCUAACAAAGUAUUUAAGCAAACAAACACAUUUGAAAAUAUAUAAAUAAAUAUAUAAAAUGAUACUGCUGCACACUCCUGUAUCCUAUUCAUUUAAUGUCAGUGCAGGUCACCUUUAGACUAUUAAUUCUAAUGUCUAAUUUGUAUUAUACUGAAUGCUUUGACUGAGUUUUGUUGAUUUUACUUACUCUCAUCCAAAUGUGUGUGAUUGGGGGUUGUGUAUACUUAAAUCUUAAAAACUGGAGAUCUAUGAAAAUAUUUUUUUUUAAAGGUAGACUUUAAUUGACAUAAGGUAAUCUUUAUAUCCAUGAAUACUGUGUUAUUAGCCUUGAGAAAUCCUCUUAUAAAGGUGCUUCCUUUGCUAAUAAUUAAUUCUUAAUUAACAUUUUUGAAGUUUAAAUAAUUGUUUUAUCAUUUAUUCAGUAAAUACAAAUUCAUUGAAAAUAAGUGUGAAGGAAAUCUGAAAUGAUGGAAAUAUUUUAGAAGUUUUGUACUGACAAAAUGCCAUUAUUGAUUGAAGUAGAUUUAAAUUAGUAUGUGGAAUAAAGUCUGGGAAAUUAAAUAACCAUCACAUCAUUUCAUUGCAGAAAUAGACUCAGGAAAGGAUUAUUUUGUUAUAAAAAAUAUAUUUUAGUGAAUUUGUUUGUAGUGAGGAGAAUUAACUGGAAUUACAGUCGGCAGUUGGCAUUGUUGUUCAAGCACGUUCUCCAUUAGUUAUUCUUCUCUCUUCUGUGCUAAGUUUAUCCAUUUAAAUUUCACAGUUGUUUUCCCUUCUAAUGGCAUGUUUUAGCUUCUAACAAGUUGUGACUUAGCUUCAAGUAAAAUACUUUAUUAAUGUACACGUGAAUUAAAUUAGCAUACAAAAUUGGUUUCUUGGUUUACUGUGAAAAUGAUCUAAUAUGAUAAAUUAGCUGUAAUUAAAAUCAAAUUAUGAAUGAAUUGGUAUUUAUGUUAAAUAUGAGUGAUUGUUAAAGAGCCAAAAUAUCAGUUUGCCAUUAUUAAAGCAUGAAUUUACAAUUUUCUGAGACUUUUAUAUGGUAUGCCAUCAUGUGUUGUGUUGCUUCAGAGAUAUGCUUAUACAUCCUUGGUCUUUUGGUUUCUAUGAAGAAGAUUUGGUUGCUCUUUCUUGCAAGUCAAAUAAUUACAUAACGAUUCCAUUGCUGGCUGGUGGUCACUUUUUCACCUUUAGUUGUCUGUCGUCAGAUUUGCCACACUAUCACUUCCAGAUAUGCAUAUUUAUUUUGAUAUAUCAUCAUAAUAUAAUGGUCUGCAUAUAUAGAUUGUGUAUCUCACAAUACAGUACUAGGAUAACAUACGUAAUGUAUGUCACCACAUAGUACCAUUCUAAUUUGUGUCACUUAGUUCCAUUGUGCCAUUGUAAUUGUAUUCACCACACAUUACUUUCUCUAUGGCUGCACAUACAUAUUUUGUGCUUCAUCACACAGUACCAUCAUAGUUGGUGUCACUUAUAUAGAUUGUAUAAUUCACUACACAGUACCCUCAUUUUUUUUCCAUGAAGUACAACUAAUAUUAUCGUUGACACUUUAGUAUUUAGAUUUUACUGUCAGAUGUAAUACUUAUUCUUUCAUAUUGUUUUAAAUGAAUUAUGCAUUAUAUUGUAGCUUCAAUAUUCCAAUGUUAUUGUUUAUUUUUAGAAUGACAUUGUAGGGUCGGUGUGAGAAACCAGAUCUGGCUGGUUUGAGCCAAGGGAAUACUUGGGCCAAAUAUGACCGGUUUAAAUGCUGGAGGGUUAAGAUGGUGAGUUGGAAGAAUUGUUAGUGUGCUGGAUAAAAUGCCUAAUUGCAUUUCUUCUGGUUCUUUAGUUUCUAUGUUUAAACCUGGCUGAAGUCCACUUUGCCUUUCAAGAUCAAAUAAAAUAAGACCAGUUCAUCACUGGGUUUGAUGUAAUCAACUGUCGCCUCUCCACAAAAUUUCAGGCCUUGAACCUAUAGUAGAAAGAAUUAUUUUUUUUUUUUGUUAUUAUUAUUAUUAUUAUUAUUAUUAUUAUUAUUAUUAUUAUUAUUAUUAUUAUUAUUUGAUACUAGAAGAGUGGAUUAGCUUGGGUUUUCAGCUAUCCUGCAGAGGUCAACUUUGCCUGGAGUUGAUAAAAUAAAGUACCAAUCAUUUAUAGAGUUACAUGUGUUGGUAACAUUUCUGUCACUACUUAAUAUUCUACCUUAAUCACCAUUGUAUUAUGUAGUUAUAUAAAAUUCUAUUCACCAUUCUCAAUCAGUAUCGCUAUCCUUAUUUUCAUUUAAUAUGGUAUCAAUAUCCUUAUUUUCAUCUCUUCAAAUUUCUUAUUUCAUGCUUAUCUUAGAAAUUAUUAUUUUACCAUACCAGAACAGUGGAUUUGUAGCCUGGCUCUAUAUUUUUUCUGACUCUUUAAAAUCACACUAAAGUGGCCAGCUUUACCUUAAAUAAAGUACCAGUCAUAUACUGGAGUUGAUUUAAUCAAUUAACCUCCUCCCCUCAGAUUUCUGGCCUUGUGCCUAUGUUAGAAAUUAUAAAAGUAGCUAAUAUUUUGUUUUACAGAACUAACCAUUUUUACUUCAAACUACAUAUUUUUGCUAUAAAUUCCAAAUUAGCAUUGUUUAUAUUUUUUUCAAUAUUGUAUUAUAUUUAGAAAUGCCAUUGAAUACUGGUCUGAUGUUGUUCCUGUUGUCAAGUCUGUAAAAUGUCAGAAUAAGAUUGUCACUAAUAUUUCUUGUUUGUCACAGGAACCCAACAAAGUUUUGUAACACUUUACAUUUAAAGGUCAGGCUUUCACUUUCUAUUCUGGUUUCCAAGAUUGACAACAUUUAAUCUAAGAUGGUACAUAGAUUUAGCUUGUCUUCACAUUCCACCCCUUGGUUUUCUGUUAUGAAAUAUCAUUGCUGUUGUUGGUUUGCAGAAAGUAUUUGAAAUUGUUGUUGUUGCAGUGAUGAAAUUGUUGUGGUCUUAGUGAUGGAUGGUAACAAAUUUGUUCCUAUUUUUAGCUCUGGUAGUAGUGGUUGUGAUGGUAAUAGUGGUAGUAGGGUGGUAGAUGAGAUAUUGAUGGAAGCAGCAGAAUGAUUUGAAACAAAACAACCCAUUGAACCAAUGAAAAUGCUUUUUUGUCCACAUGCACUUGUACACCUCACUUAAGCACUUUCUCCUUCACUUUUCUAUUUCUCAUACAAACACCUUCACAUAUUAAGACACACAAAUACACCACUGCACUAUACUAGCAUUGCAGAGGCAGCUCUAUUUCAGUACUAUUAUAAUACAGCAUUAUACACCAAGUAUAAUGUACUAUAUUAAUUCAGACCUAGUUAAUGUAGCUAAAUCACUCCAUUCAUUAGUUUUAAAACAAAAAGAAGCAUAUUUUUUAUAUCUAAGUCCUUAACCUUGAAAUUGCAUGCCCUUCAGUAAAAAACAAGAUGACCUUAAGUAGAAAUGCUAAGGUCUUCUUUGUUUGAUCAGUUGACUCUGUAUAACAGUUCUACUCAAGUAGAGUUUAGCAAGGCUAUCUAAUAACAACUGUAACAACAAUAAUGACAACACCCCUUAUUGCCAGCAUAGAAAUUUUGCAAACAUUGUAAUGUGAGAAUUAAUGCUGAUUAAGUACCAAUAACAGAUGGUAAAAACAUGGUGGUAUGCAUUAUUUAAUUUGGUGCUUCACUCUUAGUCAGUUCAGUACCCAUUUAAGUCAGUUUUGCCUUUCAUUUAUUGUGGAUCAAUAAACAUAUACUAGUUAUGCAUUAGAUACAAUAAAAAUACUUAACUAUUGAAUGUGUUACAAUUAGCACCACAAUAUAGCAUUACUGGCUCUACUAAUAGCACUAAUAAAUUUGCUGUUGAUUAUUACUUGAUAUAAUAAGCAAAGCUGGAAGCUGGCAGAAUCAUUGGUGCAUUGGACAGAAUGCAUAGUAGCAUUUCUUCUGGCUCUUUACUUUCUGAGUUCAAAUCUGACUGAGUUCAACUUUGCACCUCUGUCUUUUCUCAUUAUAGCACUACUGUCAAAAGUCUGUAUACCUGUAAUAUCAGCAAUAAAUAGAACAUUGAUGAUUGUAAACACAACACUGCUGUCUUCACUAAACACAACACUACUGUUUCCUUUCGAGAUGACUCUACUGUAUCCACUUAACUCAACACUAUUAUUAUCAUUAAUCAUGAAACACCAUUAAACAUGACCCUGCUGUCACUACUAAAUACAUUGCUAUUACAGGAAUUUGUUUCUGUCAUAUAACCUAGAGGCAGUCAUUUUAUGUUGUGUGUGACUGGUUUAUAGAAAUAUAUUAUGCACUUUAUGUAUUUAUCAAUAGUUGCUAAAGAUGAUAUAUCUUAUUGCCAAAACAUCAGUGGCACUUAAUUAUAUUAAUUUAGAUCCUUUACUGUCUGACUUUAUUAGUACUUUAAACCCUUUUACUCUAGAAAUCAGAUAUAUCUUUAACUGUGGAAAGCAGUUUUAUAUAUAAAAUCUAUCUAUUUUGAAGGAAUAUCAUAUUUGAAACUAUUCUUUGUUGAGAUCUGUCAUAUUUAUUGAUGCACUGUGACUUACAAAAAAUACCAAUUCUAUUUUUUGGAAGAUAUGUAUAACAUCAUUACUGGAAUAACCAUGAAAUUUCAUUUUGCAGCUUAAAGAUUAAAAUAGAUAUCCCACUUUAACUGACUUUUCUAAUUAAAAUUGUCCAAAAAUAUUUUAGUUUUCUUCCUUUGAUGGUGUCUAAUGAAAUUUUCUGAAUUUUUUGCCAUUUUCAGUGCUUCAUUGUGGGUUUUGUGGAUGGUCCAUAUUCUGAAAGAUCAUCUAUGUACCAAUAUAUCAAAUUAUUGCAAUCCAUAGUUUUGUUAGUGUCUAUGUUUCAACUCCACACACUAGAGUCCUUCAUACAUAGUAUUUAAUAAUCUGGUUUUGAUAUUGUUUCAUGAUGUAAGUUUGACACUUUUUUUCAAAUGGCUUUUGACCUCUCAAUCCAUUUGUUUGCUACUUCACAUUUCUUGUUUUUUCAAAAUUGUACAUGUGUGUGCAAGAGACUUAUAAACAUAAAGAUAUUCUUACUGUUGUUCAUAUCUCAAUGACUACUUUGGUGGCAAGUAAUCAUAACACUAGACAAUAUUUCUAGACACUAUACUUAUUGAUGUCUUAAAGCAUUACAAUUAUAAAAUAUUACCUCACUCUUACAUUAACCAAGUAACAGACUGGCUCCAGAUGUACAUUUAAUGAAUAUAUGGGUACAAUAUAUAUUUUAAGCAGACAUUUGUAUCUCUUCAGUAUUGAAACAAUUCUAUAUAGGUUUUUAUAUGUACAUUGAUAUUCAAUACAUUUUUAUGUCUUCCUAAAGGUGUUAUCCAGAUUAUGUUUUCUCUGUGAUGUAAUUAAUUCAUCUGCCACUGUGGAUUAAAUUUUUGAUAUCUUUGAACAAUUAAUUUACCCACAUACUGCCAAGCUUAGCUUCUAUAUUUUGUAAUUUUGUAUUUGGGAUAUAAUGUAACUGAUUGGUAGAUGUAGUUAUGUUUUCUGUGAGGAUUUUUUUGUUAUUUAUUAGAUAUUUAAAAACUUUGUUAAUUUCUUUUGUAACUCAAGUAAUCAUUUUAUUGAAUUAUGAGUUAUUAGUUUAUCUGAUUAGUAGGUUGAAUACUUAUAACUCUCCAAAUGUAGUUAUUGUAUGUGUGUGUCUACAUAUAUAUGUUAUAUAUAUUAUAAAUAUAUGUAUGUGUGUUUGUACAUGCACUUCUAAAUAUAAAUAUAAAUAUAUAUAUAUGUUGUGUGUGUGUGUGUAUAUAUAUAUAAAGUGCUUCUAACUAUAUAUAUAUAUAUGUGUGUGUGUAUAUGUAUAUAUAUAUGUGUAUGUAUAGUUAGAAGCACAUGAUCAUAUGUGUGCAUGACUGUGUAUACAUACAAAGGUAUAUGACCUUGUGUUUAGAAUGUUGGGCUAAUGAUCAGAAGGUUGUGGGUUUGAUUCCUAGGCUGGUUGGCUUGCUGAGUUUUUGAUCAAGAGUGUUCAUUUCAUGCUGCUCCAGUCUACUCAACUAGUGGUGCAGCCCUUUCUCCCUCCAGCUGCCAUUAUCUUGAUGUUCCAUUCAAUCAAUAACUGGGGAACCUGAAAAGGCAUUUAUGCCUGCUCAUAACUGCACUUAGAACAGUUAAUGACUGCAUACUAUAUGCUAUCAAGUCAUAUUUGCUUGUGAGUGAUGACUGUAGUCUUUUUUGCAUAUAUAUAUAUAUAUAUAUAUAUAUAUAUAUAUAUGCAUGCAUACACAUUUAUGUAUGUAUAUUUAUAUGUGUGUGUAUAUUUGUAUGUGUGUACACAUAUAUACACUAGUGCUGCUUCUAAUUCAUAUUUGAAUAUAUAUAUAUAUAUAUAUAUAUAUUUGUCAUUAUAGCUAGUUUCUUACAUCUCUAUCAAUGAAAAGAAAUCCAUUUUAGGAGUCAUGGUUUUAAUAAUAAUCUGUAUGUUUGUAUAAUACAUUUACAUGUGCUUGUGUGUGUGUGUGUGUGUGUGUGCAUACAUACAUACAUACAUAUGAGAUUUAAAAUGCUUUUGAAAAUUCUAUUUUUUGUAGUUAUGUUUUAGAAUAUAUAUUUCCAUGAAUUAUUUUGAACUGUUGGAAAGUUUUUUGCAUUUUAUCUUGAACAAUGAUGUUGUUACUACUGCUGCUGCUGUUGUUGUUAUUCCUAUAUAAUAUAUAUAUAUAUAUCUGUAUCUGCAUAUAUUGCUGGCUUCCCUAAAAUAUCUUAGAAAUGUAAGCUAAGCAAAACUGAGAUUAUAGACAUGUUUUAGUGAUCCUUUCAUCUACAAAUUCUCCACAAAGUUAUCUUGAAAAAAUAUUUUACUUUGCAAUUGAUGUGUUUCUUAACCAAAAUUAUUUUGGAAGCAAAUAUAUGAAAUCCCAAUUUUUUUUUUUUUGCUCAGAAAGAGGGAAUCAAACAAAGUAAAAAAAAAUAGAAAGCAAAAAUAAAAGAAAUUUUCACCAUUCUCUUGAUUGAACCGAUACCAUUACUGAACUGUUUGGUGUAGUACGAAUGUACUUUCGAUUUUAAAUCUAUAACUAAUGUAACUUGUAUAUUGUUGAGGAAAUGAUUGUUAAAAAUUGAUUGAUCCAGGUUGAGCAGGUCUAUUACUCAGGAAUUGGUAUUCUCCUUCAUAUUUACAGUUACAUUGGUUUAGAUCUGAUGACUUUUAAGACAUUUUAGUUUGUUGUUUGAAGUCAGUCCAGCAACAAAUGUUGGGAUGACAAAGAAAUAUGAGAGUGUGGAUAAGUAAUAAA